AUCUGUCCUGGGACGGACAGUAAGUGCCACUAUAAAGAAGGUGCGGCAGUGACUCUACUUAGAAGUUUGUGUAUAAUCGACAUAACAUCUAAAACUUUGAUAUAACUUAUAUGGAUGCACGGUGGACAGUAUCCUGACUGGUUGCAGCACAGCCUGAUAUGGAAACACCAAAAUCCAGGAACAGAAAAUGCCUACAUAAAAUAGUGGAUACAGCCAAGUUCAUCACAGGCAAAGCCCUCCCAUCGUUGAGUUAAUUUUCAAGGUGUGCUGCUACUGGAAAGCAGCAUCCAUCAUCAAGGGCAGCCUUCCUCUGCUCCAUGCUCGCUGCUGCCAUUGUUGGGAAGGACGUACAGGAGCCUUAAGUCCCACACCACCAUCUUCAGGAAGAGUUAUUACCCUUAAGAGUUAUUAAUCCUGCUGCUGAAACAGUGUGGAUAACUUCACUGAACUGAUUCCAUAAACUACAGAGACACUUUCAAGUAUUCUGCCACUCAUGUUCUCAGUAUUAUUAUUUUUUAUUAUUUGCACAAUCUGUUUUAUUUGGCACAUUUGUUGUCUGUCAGUCUUUACUGUUUAUAGCUUUCAUAAAUUCCAUUGUAUAUAUUUUCCUGUAUAUCCCUGAAAGGAAAUGAAUAUGAAGGUAGUGUAUAGUGACAUAUGCAUACGUUGAUAGUCACUUACUUUGACUGUGACAGUGUUUGUUGGGUUUUCCCCAAAACAGCAAAAGAUUGUUUACAAAAAAAUAUACGAAAUGCAAACAUCAAGUAUUUACGAGACCGUAGAGCGUCAAAUUCUGCAGAUUUUCCCGUGUAGGUGUCAAAUUAAAAUGUGAUUAUUACAGUCUGAAACACAGUCAAUUACGGUGGGAUGGGGGGUGGGGGGUGUCACCGUUCCUGGAUAUUCACCUCUAUACUCAUUCUAUUCACAAUGUUCGAAAGUUUCCCGGCGGCUCCACUGAUUGACUCACGAUCACGUGACAUACGAGAAGCCGACCUGUUGCGCAGUGACGUCAAGGAGGGCAUUCCUGCAGAGACGUCGUUGCCCGGGAAACGAUCACGGACGGUGGGUCUGCCGUGAAGUGGACUCGGUCUCCACUGUGGGAAUCGGCCUCUGCUCUUCCUGCCCACGGAACAGUGAGUGUCUGUCAGCGCCUCACCGCACCGGCUCUCUGCGCCAGACUCCUGCACCUCACCAACCAUAGAUGUGAAGUUAACAGGACCACAGUUACUUGGUUUUGUCUUCCGCCCUAUUUCAACAAUGGAUUUCCACUCCACUGAGACGUUCCUGGCACACAACACAACCUUUAAAUUAUCGUUCUGGAGCUUUCAUGAGGAUCCUACAUCCCUUUGCACCGCCGAUGUUUGAACUUCCUACCCCAUUUAGAUAAGUCUGCACUAUUGUUCCUUUUACCAAAGUGCAUUAUCAGACAUUUCCCAGCACUGUAUUCCAUCUGCCAUUUUCUUGCCCUUUCUGAUUUAUCUAAUUUCUGAUGCAAUUACAUUGCUUCUGCAGCACAACCUACCCCUCCAUCUGUCUUUGUAUCAUUUACAAACUUAACCACAAAGCCAUCAAUUCCACUGUCUAAAUCAUUGACAAACAGUGUGGAAAGUAGUGGUUCCAAUACUGACCACAGAAGAACACCAUUGCACUGGCCGCCAACCAGCAAUGGCUUCCUUUAUUCCCACUCACUGCCUCCUGCCUCAGCCACCCCUCUAUCUCUGCUAGAUUCUUUCCUGUAAUGACAUAGGAAUUUGUUUUGUUAUGCAGUCUCAUGUAUGGCACCUUAUCAAGUGCCUUCUGAAAAUCCAAGCAAGUAACAUCCACUGCCUCUCUUUUGUCCAUCCAGCUUUGUUGUUUACUUGAUCUCUAACAGAUUUCCCGGGCAUGU